CUGCAGCACCAAUUGGGCUGAAGAAGUUCUCCCCACCCUUUCGCGGGCCCUUCGGCUACACGUGCGUGGCUUCACCUGCGGCAGCUCCCAGGACAGGCUGGCUCAGCUCCUGCGAGCAGAGGACAGCAGUUCCUUCAGACAGGCACAUGGUGGAUUUUUGGAAGAGUUUCCAUGUUUCCAGCAGUGAGUCUGUGAGUUUCUGACGAGGCUGGGAGAAGCACAGGGACCCUAUGCUGCAGCAGACAGGAGGGCUCACAUCGGGGUUCGGAGCCAAGUGGUCCCAUGGUCCUCAUUUGGGAAGUGUUCAUCCAGAAAGUCCGUGUUGGAUGGCAUUCCUAUGGGAAUACCAAUUCAGUGUCUGGGUUGCAUCGUGUGGGGAUGGUUGUGAAGGUCACUUUGGCACUGACUGUGCCCUCCUGUUUAUCUGACUUACUAAUACAGCAAUCAGUGGGUCUGCUCCAAAGCCCCGUGAAAGUGAAGAACGGGUCCCUUGCUGAGGAGACCAUCGUGGAGCUCACUGUGGAGCUCCUGCCACUCAAGCAAUCUCCUGCUAGCAGGGAGUCGUGCUGCAUCCCAAAGCAACUAAGUGUACAUGCGCUUAACGAACUCAAGUUCAGCUCCUUUCACCGACCAAAAUAAAUUGUUUCCAUGCCUGCCCAGAUUGUAAAUUAGUAGAACAAACAGUCAUUUAAAAUGAAUGAUUUCAAGUCAGAGGAAUACAAAUCAGAGACUGUAUUUCUUCUCACUGGAGGAAUACUGUUGCACCAAAAAUAUUACUUAGAUUUUCAAUCUUCCGUAGACCAGACAAAGGAUCUUCAUUAUCAAGCAAUCAACAGACAAUAAAACCAGCUCUGACUCCACAUCUGACGUGGCCUGGCUUUGACAGAUCAUUCCCUUUGGUGCCUUUACACGUAGCAAGUGUUGCCAGCUGCCAGGGCUCACAUCUUUAUUUGGCUUGUGUGGAUCUGGAAGCAGAAAGGUCUCACCUCAGGAUUCACUAAUUCUGUUAGGCUGCAGCUCCAUCUUUUCUGCCAUCCUCACCAGUAUUGCUUUCCUCCUGUUCCUGCAUGAAGGGGGUUAGUGGGUGAGCCUGGGUCACGGCUCUGCUGGGGAGGCGUGGGUCCAGGAAGGACAGCUGUGUGGACCAUGUCAUAAAAAAGUUUCCCUGGGACUGGUUUAAAUGUGUGAUGAACCCGUUAUUCAAAAGUGAGCUCCUCAUUUGAUGCAGACUGCUGGAAGCACGAGCACCAAAGUCCAGUUGUGCAAAAUACCACACAGCCUGAACUGCAAAUGCUUCGGGCCUGAUUCGGGCUUCUGCAAAGUCACCAGGACUCUCUCACUGCCUCCAGUGGGGUUUCGAUGCGAUCCUUACUGAAUAAACAAUCAGGAAGUAAACACAUAUAGAAUCUGAUUACCUGGUCUCCAGCCUCUUGAUGAACUCACUGCUGCAUCAUGUAAAUACAACUUUGGCACAUCAAAUUCCAGCAAAAUGCAGCAGCCCUUCCAUCACCCCGCUGCGCACCUCUGGCCAAGCUCAUCUGUGACUUCUGGUCAUACAUCACAAGGGUCUGCUACACAGGUGGCAGGGCUAUGGUUUACAUCUGUCCUUUCUGCCCUAAAUAAUCAGUGGUGAGAUCUGCUUUACAUCAACUUUAAACAGCUGCAAGUGCCUGCACUGGGUGGCAAAUCCGCCCCACAAGCCCUCAGCCUUUCUGUGACCCACCACAGCUCCAGGAUUGCCAAGAUGCUGCCCUGAGAUGAUCCGAAAGCUCUCUCUUAUUUUAACAACACGGCUGUUUGUUAUUCUGUCCGGGAGCAGUAAAGCCAUCAAUCGUCCAGAAGGAGACCAUUUUAAAGCACACUAAACAGCAAAUAAUUCUCUGCCUGGGAUAUUAAAAUAUCACAAACCACAAAUUUCCCCGUGUUAUUGCCUUGUAGCUGACAUCUGUGUGUGUUAGCACUGGGGGACCACAAACCGAGGAGCAGCUUGAUCUAUAGACUGUAGGAGGUCUAUGGACUGAGGAGGUGAUGUGCUCACACUACGGUAAAAGGCGGUGCACGAGAGAACCUUGUGCAGCCUGCUCCCAGGCUUUGCAUUGCUUUUGCAGCCCCUUCCUC